CUCUAUUCCAGCUGGGGUGGUGUGGGAUCUUCUGAGGUUCAACUCAAGAUCUUAUCCUAAUGGUUUUCAGUCUCCAA
rfam:Phoenicopterus ruber ruber contig98667, whole genome shotgun sequence.